rnacentral:rRNA from 1 species
CCUACGGGUCGCACCAGUGGGGAAUAUUGCACAAUGGGCGCAAGCCUGAUGCAGCCAUGCCGCGUGUAUGAAGAAGGCCUUCGGGUUGUAAAGUACUUUCAGCGAGGAGGAAGGCAUUAAGGUUAAUAACCUUGGUGAUUGACGUUACUCGCAGAAGAAGCACCGGCUAGCUCCGUGCCAGCAGCCGCGGUAAUACGGAGGGAGCAAGCGUUAAUCGGAAUUACUGGGCGUAAAGCGCACGCAGGCGGUCUGUCAAGUCGGAUGUGAAAUCCCCGGGCUCAACCUGGGAACUGCACUCGAAACUGGCAGGCUAGAGUCUUGUAGAGGGGGGUAGAAUUCCAGGUGUAGCGGUGAAAUGCGUAGAGAUCUGGAGGAAUACCGGUGGCGAAGGCGGACCCCUGGACAAAGACUGACGCUCAGGUGCGAAAGCGUGGGGCGCAAACAGGAUUAGAUACCCGAGUAGUC